UUUUGGUAGUGUUCUGUUUUUCUAUACUAUGUAUGUAUUUCCUCAGAAAAUAUUUCUUUCUUAGAAUGGAUUUAGGCUGUGUUAUGCCUGUGAAGUCAUAUUUAUUCUUCUGUAAAGGUGUCACUUAUCCGGAUGCUGCAUGAUUAAGACCACCAUACUCUUAUCAAGCAUACAGGUGUUAAUGUCUAUUUUAAAGAGGAGAGAACUCAAGAAGUUCUGUAGAAACUGCUUUCUUCAUCAUAUCUCAAAGGAUUUGCUGAGGAUUUCAGAGCUGCCACGAGUUGAGAGAAGACUUCGGACAUUUCACUUAAUGCUGAAAAUUCACUCUACUGCCACUACUCAGGACUUCUGA
ensembl:lincRNA